GAGGGCUUAACUGUCUCCUGUAGCCAAUCAAUGAAAUUGAUCUCACAGUACAAAUGCUGUGAUACAACUAUAAGACGAGAAGACCCUGUGGAGCUUUAAACCUUCCACAUUAACUAAUUACCCUCAACCACCAUUAGUAUAAUGUGAGUUUUAAGUUGGGGCGACUAUGGAGUAAAAAUUAACCUCCAAGUAAUACGAUUAAACCUCGUUACACACGGCUAACAAGCCUAGUCAAAACACACGACCCAGUCAAACUGACUAUCGAACCAAGUUACCCCAGGGAUAACAGCGCCAUCCCCUUAAAGAGUCCACAUCGA
rnacentral:rRNA from 1 species